rnacentral:rRNA from 1 species
GUGCCAGCAGCCGCGGUAAUACGUAGGUGGCAAGCGUUGUCCGGAAUUAUUGGGCGUAAAGCGCGCGCAGGCGGUCCCUUAAGUCUGAUGUGAAAGCCCACGGCUCAACCGUGGAGGGUCAUUGGAAACUGGGGGACUUGAGUGCAGAAGAGGAAAGUGGAAUUCCACGUGUAGCGGUGAAAUGCGUAGAGAUGUGGAGGAACACCAGUGGCGAAGGCGACUUUCUGGUCUGUAACUGACGCUGAGGCGCGAAAGCGUGGGGAGCAAACAGGAUUAGAUACCCUGGUAGUCC